rnacentral:lncRNA from 1 species
GAGCGCGGGCCUGGUGCUUCGGCGGCCCCGGGCUUGCGGCGGGGUCGCCGGGGGGACGCCCCUCAGGCCUGCUCUUAGGAGCCGAAGUCCGGCCGGGGCGCCGUACGCGGGCAGGGCCCGGAGCUGGGCCUUCGGCUUCGUGAAAGCCCCAGCCCCACCCAAGUGGAGAAAUGCACACCAGGAGGACAGGGACCAGGCUGUGUGCCCAGGGUCCAGCAACCCAGCAAUCCCAGCGCAUCUAUCUGCCCACUUACUGUUUCAGAGCAGGAGAAAAGGAAUGUCUCCUGGAAAUGACUUUUUGAGAUGAAAUUGUUUGACCACCUCUGGAAGCAGUAUCAGGAGCAACAGAAAUCCACAUUUGUUCAGUGGGUUAGAGGACAUGGAGUGGAAGACUUUGAGGAGGAGAUUCUGUGCUAGACUGGUCUUGCUUAGAAGACAUUUCCAGAUUAGAUCCAUUGUUUUGUAUGUGCAUUUUAUUUCUCACUGCUGUAUAUAUAGUUGACAAUAAGUACUUUUUAGAAAUAUCUAGGCUUUGUACAGAGUUCGCGUCGUGGCUCAGUGGUUAACGAAUAUGAUUAGAAACCCUGAGUUUGCGGGUUCGAUCCCUGGCCUUGCUCAGUGGGUUACAGAUCCAGCGUUGCCUGGACAAGUAAGUUCUUAUAUGAAAUAUCUAGUCUUUCUGGGUAUUUAGAAGUGCUUGAUGUAUUUAAAAGUAGUAGUAGUAAAAUAAUGCUUCUUGUAAAUAGCUUUUUAAAACGUGGGAAAUACUGUCUUGGGAAAUGGAAUUGUUAAACCUCCUUUCUGACCCUAUACUCUACUUGUUCCUUGGGCUGAAGGAAGUGGGAGGGAAGAUUGCAAAAGAUGUUUUGCUAGUGUGUACUAAAAAAUUUCAACUUAUCAGUUGUUCUGUGUUACAUGCAUUUUGUAUAUGCUGGACAAAUGGGCCCAAUUUUAUAAUACGUAGUCUCUAGAUGUUAAAAAGAGGUUGCUAAUAUAUGACUAAAGUAGAGUUAGUAAACUAACAUGUUUUGUACGCUUGCGUAAAAUUUCAUUGAAAGGCUGUUUUCUGAAAAGGACCUUUGAAAAUGAAAUUGUAAAUCACAUCUAAGUGACACAUGUGCCUGCACCCACCGUUGGAUGGACUGUGGGAAGGAGGAGUUAGGAGAAAUGAAGGGUUCUAAACUCGAGUGUUCCUGUGUAGAAGACACUUUCAGAUAUAACAUUGCUAACAUGUGGUUUAUUCAACACUACUGUGUAUACAGUGGACAAACUUAAGUCCUUAUUUGAAACAUCUUGUCUUUCUAGAUGUUUAGAAGUACACAAAGCAUGUUAAAAGUAGAGGUAGUAAAAUAACAUUUUGUAGAUAGCCUUUUGUUAACAUUCAUGAAGUACUGCCCUUCAGAAAUGGAAUAAUCAAACCACCUCUCUGAGCAGUGCACAUUUGUGCUGGUUCAAGGAGGAAGAAGAGAGUACAAGGGCUUUAUUCCAAUAAAUAUGUUUAUAGUUAGGCAAGUUUAACCAUUGCCCUGUAUGUCUGUGCAUUCUGUUUUACUUAGGUAUAUAUAUAGUGUACAUAAAGGAUAAACGCCCAAAUUUACAUCUCAUCUUCCUAGAUGUUAAAGAGGUUGCCAAUGUAUGACAAAAGUAGUGAGAAAAUAAAUACAUUGUGUAUACUUUGUGUUAAAAUUCUUAAGAUUGUUUUGAAAACGACUGGAGGAGGUGAAAUUGUUAAAGUCCCUUCUAAGUGCUUAUUACACCUGUCCACUAGGUUGACAAAGAAGGGGAAGGGUUCUAGGCCAAUGUUCCUGUUUAGAAGACACUUUGAGAUUAUGGCCUUUGUGUGCAAUUUGUUCAAUACCACAUGUAUGUAAACUUAAAUCCUUAUUUGAAACAUCUAGUCUUUCUGGAUGUUUAAAAGUGUACAACAUAUGUUAAAAGUAGAUAAAGUAACACCUUUUAAGUAUUUUUUCUGUGAAUUCAUAGGAAUGGUCACAUGUGAGGAAUGGGAUUGUUAAACUUGAGCCUUGGAGACUAUGCUGACUGAUCACUGGGGUGGUGGGGGUUGGAGGGACAGGGAAGGAAGUGCAGAGAAGGGUUCAGUGCUCUAAAGACAGGUUCAGACUGUCUAGCCAUUGUUCUGUUUGUGCAUUUUAGUUAAUAUUGCUGUGUAUUAAGGAAUAAACAAGUCCUACUGUUCAAAGUAAAAAAAAAAAUAAAGAAAUCUAGAGCC